ensembl:snRNA U4 U4 spliceosomal RNA
AGCUUUGCGCAGUGGCAGUAUCGUAGCCAAUGAGGUUUAUCCGAGGCCCGAUUAUUGCUAAUUGAAAACUAGAUUCCAUGUAGUCAUUAAUUCACACUUUUAGAUGU